GACGAACGCUGGCGGCGUGCUUAACACAUGCAAGUCGAACGGAAAGGCCCUGCUUUUGUGGGGUGCUCGAGUGGCGAACGGGUGAGUAACACGUGAGUAACCUGCCCUUGACUUUGGGAUAACUUCAGGAAACUGGGGCUAAUACCGGAUAGGAGCUCCUGCUGCAUGGUGGGGGUUGGAAAGUUUCGGCGGUUGGGGAUGGACUCGCGGCUUAUCAGCUUGUUGGUGGGGUAGUGGCUUACCAAGGCUUUGACAGGUAGCCGGCCUGAGAGGGUGACCGGCCACAUUGGGACUGAGAUACGGCCCAGACUCCUACGGGAGGCAGCAGUGGGGAAUAUUGCACAAUGGGCGGAAGCCUGAUGCAGCAACGCCGCGUGCGGGAUGACGGCCUUCGGGUUGUAAACCGCAUUCGCCUGUGACGAAGCGUGAGUGACGGUAAUGGGUAAAGAAGCACCGGCUAACUACGUG
rnacentral:rRNA from 1 species